CCUACGGGAGGCAGCAGUGGGGAAUUUUGGACAAUGGACGCAAGUCUGAUCCAGCCAUGCCGCGUGCGGGAAGAAGGCCUUCGGGUUGUAAACCGCUUUUGUCAGGGAAGAAACGAUCCGCUCUAAUACAGUGGGUUAAUGACGGUACCUGAAGAAUAAGCACCGGCUAACUACGUGCCAGCAGCCGCGGUAAUACGUAGGGUGCAAGCGUUAAUCGGAAUUACUGGGCGUAAAGCGUGCGCAGGCGGUUAUGCAAGACAGAUGUGAAAUCCCCGGGCUCAACCUGGGAACUGCAUUUGUGACUGCAUGGCUAGAGUACGGUAGAGGGGGAUGGAAUUCCGCGUGUAGCAGUGAAAUGCGUAGAUAUGCGGAGGAACACCGAUGGCGAAGGCAAUCCCCUGGACCUGUACUGACGCUCAUGCACGAAAGCGUGGGGGAGACAAACGAGGUAUUAGACUACCCGUAGGUACGUCCGACGACCCUAAACGAUGUACAACGUGGUUGUUGGGUAGGGUUUCUUCUCAGUAACGUAGCUAACGCGUAGAAGUUGACCGCCGUGGGGAGUACGGCCGCGAAGGUUGAACUCGAAAGGAGUUGGACGCGNGAGAGAGACGACGACGACGACGAGGGAGGAGG
rnacentral:rRNA from 1 species